AGUGAACGCUGGCGGUAGGCCUAACACAUGCAAGUCGAACGGCAGCACAGUAAGAGCUUGCUCUUACGGGUGGCGAGUGGCGGACGGGUGAGGAAUACAUCGGAAUCUACUUUUUCGUGGGGGAUAACGUAGGGAAACUUACGCUAAUACCGCAUACGACGUACGGGUGAAAGCAGGGGAUCUUCGGACCUUGCGCGACUGAAUGAGCCGAUGUCGGAUUAGCUAGUUGGCGGGGUAAAGGCCCACCAAGGCGACGAUACGUAGCUGGUCUGAGAGGAUGAUCAGCCACACUGGAACUGAGACACGGUCCAGACUCCUACGGGAGGCAGCAGUGGGGAAUAUUGGACAAUGGGCGCAAGCCUGAUCCAGCCAUACCGCGUGGGUGAAGAAGGCCUUCGGGUUGUAAAGCCCUUUUGUUGGGAAAGAAAAGCAGCAGGUUAAUACCCCGCUGUUCUGACGGUACCCAAAGAAUAAGCACCGGCUAACUUCGUG
rnacentral:rRNA from 1 species